GUGUAUUCCACUUCAAAUGAUAAAAUCCUUCCUUGUAAUAAACUACUCACUCCUACACAAACGGCGUAAUUAUUCAAGGAGAAUGAAAUACUGUUUUUUCACCGAACCGUUAAAUGUGGACUGAAUUACAAAAUGUGACUAAGGCAGAGUUGGAUCAUUUUGGACACUUCAUUUAGUUUUUGGGCAGUUUGGUUUACAAUUCCCUAUUUAAUGAAAAACCCUAUAAUGUAAACCACAGUGAUAGCUCUGUAGAGAGAGCUCUACCUGCAAUCAAUGUCAGUCUAGGCCAGAAGAAGGCAACCUGUUACAGCACUGUGCCCCAUCGAGACUUUACAUUCCCCUGGCAUGCGAGUCCUAUUAUUUAAAAUGUAUCAACGUAUUUGUAUGUUGCCAAAUGCUGCCUAUGUGCUAUUAUGAUUGCUGCAAUUGCUUUGUAUUGAUG